rnacentral:lncRNA from 1 species
AGUCGUAGUAUCGCAAACAUUUCAGCUUGGACUAUAUUCUGAUUUCAACCUACAUACGAUUCACAACAGAUAAACGUCUACCUGUGCCAAUACUCUACCGUCUGACAUAAAACGUUUAACUGAUGGCAGCGGAUCCGUGUGUAGAAAAGUUAUUUUCGAGUUCCUUUCGAAAUGUUCAACGCUGCACGAUUCCAGCUAUAAUACGGCGACCUGGAAAUAAUCGAGUCUGGACUAAACAAACUAUGCGCGAUGAUCCAUAUCUUCGGGUACGAUGACACACAAUCCGCCAAGCCACCGAGCCUGACCAACCGAUCCCCAUUAGUCAGCUUUUACGACGACAAGCAUGGGGAAUAAUUUUACCGAAAUUCUCCACGUGAUGAAUGCUUUACGAAAUUGUGGUAUUGAUUUAUGGAGACGUCAACAUGUCUAUCAAAAGCAGUACUUGUGUAACGCAUGGUCAGUGGUCGAAUCUCACUCCCAAAGACAGUGAUAAGUUCGAGGGGAGAACACGGCAUCAUGUUGAAGAGCCAUGUAUGAGCAAUGAGUUUUAGAAUAGACCCUCGUUAACGCGACAUUUGGAGUAUUUGUAUGUCCUCGAGUUAUCCAGAGUUCGAGACAGAUGUGACAUGUGACUCUGCUGUAGUGAAGAUAAGGGUCAUAGGAUAAGGAUUUGGAUAAGAGCAGCUGUGGAUGUGUCAUUGCUGAUCGCACGGGACGCACGUGUGAAGCAUCAGCCAUAACAUUCUGUAUCUAUGGCUCGCAUCCUGCUCAUCAGGUUAUGACACUGGAUGAGCUACAUAUUACAGAGUGGCAGUUUGACGUGGCGCAGGCUGUAGGCAUUCUCAAUUCUUAGCCAUCGGGCACGGUAUUCGCACUCACGGUCAGCAGAUCCUGGCGAAAGAAAGGGGACUACUCUGCACGCCGUAUUCCAGUGCUUUAGACGAAAGGGCAGCUGGUGGUCUCCGAAUCUUGUAUGGCAUUAAAUAGAACCGAAACUUGGGUAUAAACUCGACCAAGGUCGAAGAGGGGAUCUAAUUGAAGAGACUGGCCUGCCUGAAAGUAGACAUAUCCCACGAUUGUCAAUUUAAUGGGAGGAAAUAGCGAUUUAUACGCUAUGCUACAUAUUACAGAGUGGCGCAGGCUGUAGGCAUUCUCAAUUCUUAGCCAUCGGGCACGGAAUUCGCACUCACGGUCAACAGAUCCUGGCGCAGGAAAGGGGACUACUCUGCACGCCGUAUUCCAGUGCUUUAGACGACAGGGCAGUUGGUGGUCUCCGAAUCCUUAAAUAGAACCGAAACUUGGGUAUAAACUCGGCCAAGCUCAACGAGGGGAUCUAAUUGAAGAGACUGACCUGCCUGAAAGUAGACGUAUCCCACGAUUGUCAAUUCAAUGGGCGGAAAUAGCGAUUUGUACGCUAUGAGCAAUGGUCAAAUACCAACACCAAUCUCAUGAAAAUCCGAUCUUUCCCCAGCACCACUAAAACUGUCUACGUGCAGAUCUGAUGACAUCGCCAUGGAGGGUCGCGUUGAGCGAAUCCUGAGCGACCUUUGACCGCCCAGCUUAAAUGAAGGAUGCGAAGGGUCUUGAGCCAAUCAGAUGUCAGCUUUCAAAAAAGAUACGGCUUCAUGUGUUUACCACCUCCAUUUGAAAAUUUCUAUUCAUGUUUAUGCAAACCCUCACAUAACACAAAUUCACCCUUGAUAGUACACAACGCAAACGUUUUUUAUGGUGUUCUGCAGUAAAAAUGCAAAUAAUCCUUGGCUAUUCAACGAAUAAGUGGAGAAUAAUAAGCAAAUAUUUCCUAUGUGGCGUAUAUCCAUAUCCAACCACUCACUGAAACCAAAUGUGGCAAAAAAAAGACAAUAGAUAAUAUGUUUUAGUUUUGGUUUGUUGUUUAACGCCGCAAUCAGCAAUAUUCCAGCUAUAUGACGGCGGUCUGUAAAUAAUCGAGUCUGGACCAGACAAUCCAGUGAUUAAUAUCAUGAGCAUCCAUCCACGCA